GUAGGGAAUAUUGGACAAUGGGGGCAACCCUGAUCCAGCGACGCCGCGUGAGUGAUGAAGGCCUUCGGGUCGUAAAGCUCUGUUGCAGGGGAAGAACACAAUGACGGUACCCUGCUAGAAAGGAUCGGCUAACUUCGUGCCAGCAGCCGCGGUAAGACGAGGGAUCCUAGCGUUGUUCGGAAUUAUUGGGCGUAAUGAGGGUGCAGGUGGCUAGGUAAGUCAGAUGUGAAAGCCUGGGGCUUAACCCCAGAAGUGCAUUUGAUACUGCUGAGCUUGAGUGCUGGAGAGGCUAUUAGAAUUCCUAGUGUAGUGGUGAAAUACGUAGAUAUCAGGAGGAAUACCGGAGGCGAAGGCGGAUAGCUGGCCAGACACUGACACUCAGACCCGAAAGCGUGGGGAUCAAACAGGAUUAGAAUCCCGGGUAGUCC
rnacentral:rRNA from 1 species